rnacentral:rRNA from 1 species
CAGCAGCCGCGGUAAAACGGAGGGGGCUAGCGUUGCUCGGAAUUACUGGGCGUAAAGCGCACGUAGGCGGCUUGGUAAGUUAGAGGUGAAAGCCCAGGGCUCAACCCUGGAAUUGCCUUUAAGACUGCCGAGCUAGUAGGUGAGAGAGGUGAGUGGAAUUCCGAGUGUAGAGGUGAAAUUCGUAGAUAUUCGGAAGAACACCAGUGGCGAAGGCGGCUCACUGGCUCAUUCUAGACGCUGAGGUGCGAAAGCUAGGGGAGCAAACAGGAUUAGAUACCCCAGUAGUCCCUGUCUCUUAUAA